ACGGGAGGCAGCAGUGAGGAAUAUUGGUCAAUGGACGAGAGUCUGAACCAGCCAAGUAGCGUGCAGGAUGACGGCCCUCCGGGUUGUAAACUGCUUUUAGUUGGGAAUAAAAGAAGGGACGUGUCCCUUAUUGUAUGUACCAUCAGAAAAAGGACCGGCUAAUUCCGUGCCAGCAGCCGCGGUAAUACGGAAGGUCCGGGCGUUAUCCGGAUUUAUUGGGUUUAAAGGGAGCGUAGGCGGGCCUUUAAGUCAGUGGUAAAAGCGUGUGGCUCAACCAUACCACGCCAUUGAAACUGGAGGCCUUGAGUGCACACAGGGAUGCUGGAAUUCGUCGUGUAGCGGUGAAAUGCUUAGAUAUGACGAAGAACUCCGAUUGCGAAGGCAGCUGACUGUAGCGUAACUGACGCUGAAGCUCGAAGGUGCGGGUAUCGAACAGGAUUAGAUACCCUGGUA
rnacentral:rRNA from 1 species